ensembl:lncRNA
AUGAUUAAAAUCUUAGGCAAGACUCCUUUUGUACUGGCUUGUGUGGGCAAAAGAAAGCAGUAUAGAGAUUUAUUCUCCCACUGGCAUGAAUGCUGUGAUUCUGACCACCUUCUACAUCACUGUCUACCACCCCUACACCAGCUCCUAGAAGACAGAGUAACUACAGGAUGCUGUGGUACCUGGAGUGAUGCCAGACUGCAGAGGCCACCUAGUGACAUGAGGAGAGAUUCAACCUAACAUGGUGAGGAUGGCAGAGUAGAGCUAAAGUGGAAAAGCAUUUCCCUGAUGAAUUUAAGAAGCCACUGAAUAAAUAUGUCUGGAAGUACCUAACUCUGAACUAAGUGGCUUUAUUUGGUUAAAUUGAGAUUCUACUUCUUGUUGCCAGAAGCAAACUUACUGCUUAAUUCUCAAUAUUAAGAAGUCCUAAUGAUUCCUUCUGUUGCGUCUACCAAAUCUGGUUUUAGAACUCCUGGGACACACAUAUUCUUUACCAUAUAGGAAUCUUUACUAACACUAUUCCAUCUGUGGAAAGUAACUUUUUAUUGCACUGCUACUUAAUGGAACUAUAUUGAUCCUUUUAAUCUAGUCUAAAUCCUAUGACCUGAGAUAGCCUUCCAACAUUCCACCAGUCAAAAUGACUUCCUUUAGUCUAUGUAUUGCACUUGGUUUGGAUUAGCCUUUCUGCAGUUAUCCUUCUUUGCUUUAAUCUAUAUGUAUACAUUAUUGAAUCUCUUCAAAUACAUAUAAACCUUCUUUAAGGUAGAAAUGAAAUAAUUGUUUUCCAAAUGAUUUAAGGAAUCAUGCAUCUUUUUUUCCCGUCAAGAUCUCUCCUACAGCCCUGGUACGGUACCUCUUAGCAGGUGCUCCUCACAAUUUACCCAGUUGGUCAUGUGUGAAAUGAAAAGGUUGAAUUAAAUGAUACUGACAAUCUCUUCUGACUCUAAGGUACAGUGAUGAUGUCUACACUGAAGUGAAACCAUACUUCUCACAGAUAUAUAGAAGUUUGAGAGUUAAACAUAACAAAAGGAAAACUCUAAGCAUGGGUGGUGGUGAAAUACAAAUAUCUUGUAUUUUUUUUUUAAAUCAG